GUAUUAUAUAUGAGAGAGAUUAUUAUAAUAAUGAAAUUUAAAAUUUUGGCGGCUAUUUAUUAUUUAGAGGAACUUGCCUAUUAAUAGAAAUUACUCUUUAAAUCUUACUUAUUUUUGUUUAUUUAUCUUCGUUAUUAGAUGAUAAUUAUAUAAAUAUUUAAUUUAUAUUUCAGAUCAAGAUGUAGCAAAAAUAGGAUUAGGUUAGUUACUUUUAUGGAAUGAUGAAUAUUUAUUUGGCAUAGAAAUUGAAAUUGAAUUUAGUUGUAAAAUUAUUUAAAAUAAUAAUUUGAAACUAUUUAAUUAGGUU
rnacentral:rRNA from 1 species